rnacentral:rRNA from 1 species
AAUACGAAGGGGGCUAGCGUUGCUCGGAAUUACUGGGCGUAAAGAGCACGUAGGCGGUCUGUCAAGUCGGAUGUGAAAACCCGCGGCUCAACCGUGGGAUUGCAUUCGAAACUGGCAGGCUUGAGUCCAGUAGAGGAAAGUGGAAUUCCCAGUGUAGCGGUGAAAUGCGCAGAUAUUGGGAAGAACACCGGUGGCGAAGGCGGCUUUCUGGGCUGUGACUGACGCUGAGGUGCGAAAGCUAGGGUAGCGAACA